rnacentral:rRNA from 1 species
GUGAGGAAUAUUGGUCAAUGGUCGCAAGACUGAACCAGCCAUGCCGCGUGCAGGAAGACGGUCCUAUGGAUUGUAAACUGCUUUUAUACAGGAAGAAACCCUCCCACGUGUGGGAGCUUGACGGUACUGUAGGAAUAAGGAUCGGCUAACUCCGUGCCAGCAGCCGCGGUAAUACGGAGGAUCCAAGCGUUAUCCGGAAUCAUUGGGUUUAAAGGGUCUGUAGGCGGUCUUAUAAGUCAGUGGUGAAAGCCCAUCGCUCAACGAUGGAACUGCCAUUGAUACUGUAAGACUUGAAUGCUUAGGAAGUAACUAGAAUAUGUAGUGUAGCGGUGAAAUGCUUAGAUAUUACAUGGAAUACCAAUUGCGAAGGCAGGUUACUACUAAGUGAUUGACGCUGAUGGACGAAAGCGUGGGGAGCGAACAGGAUUAGAAACCCCGGUAGUCC